rnacentral:lncRNA from 1 species
CAAAAGUGUCAUUAGAUAUUUGCAGUGCUGAGGCUUUGUGUGGGCAGGAGAUCUGGCUUUGAGCUGUUUCAGACCCUCAGUACUAACCAGACUCUAAAAAGGCAGGCACUCACCUUCAGGCAGAGAUAACAAAUGCAACUUUGCACCAAAGUGGACAUAAAGAGACUCUAGAGGUAUCUUGUGGGAUUUACACUUGGAUAUGGAGCUACAUGGUAGUGCACAGGCAAUCUGUAACUCCACAAUCUGCCAGACAUCUGAUCCCAAUAAAUCCGUCUCUCAAAAGAUGGUACUUCAGAAUUGAUAAAUAUUUAUUGGAGACAUCUCUGAAGACACCCAAAGGUACAGGCCUAAACAACCAAUACUGAGGAGACAACACACGAAAGAGGGUUUUUUUCAGAUAAAUCAAUGUAAUCAGGCUGAAGAAACUGUGGAGCUGGUCUCAAAUAUAAGCAGGGAUAAUACUGGCUUUUCAAUGCUUUCACAAGUACUCUGAAGGCUUUUUUCAGAAAAUGAUUUUCUUAUGCAUAAAUAAACAGCCUCUCUCCAACUAGCA